UUUGCAGUCUGGGGGCUUGACAUGGUUGGGCCUUUCAAAAGGUCCAAAGAUAAAAAGACCCACCUCUUGGUGGCAGUUGAUAAAUUUACAAAGUUGGUUGAGGUAGAGCCAGUCAGUAAGUGUGAUGCAGCUAAGGCAGUUCAGUUCAUGAAGAAGGUGAUAUUUCGCUUCCGCUUUCCACACAGCUUUAUAACUGACAAUGGCACUAAUCUUUCUAAAGGCGCCAUGGAAGAAUUUUGUCAAUGUGAGCAUAUUCGGCUUGAUGUUUCAUCAAUGGCUCACCCCCAAUCCAAUGGUCAAGCUGAGAGAGCCAAUUAG
rnacentral:rRNA from 1 species